UCCGAAGGUGGUUGCUUUCAGCCCGGUGCCCUAAUCUCGCACCGAGCCGAACGGUGUGCAGAAACAGCGGCACCGACGUUAACCGAACAGCCUUACCGACGCGCAGCAACGUUGGGCGGACAGCGAGAAACUCCCGAGAGGCUCCCAAAACCGUAACCGAGACGGUGUAACGAGACGAGCCGGUUUAUUCCCACCCACACCUUCGAAGAUAAAAUGGAGAGGGACUCAAACGGUACUGCAGAAACCACCGAGCCGGCUUCGCCUUUGAGGAAAAAUAUUAAUCAAGACACCUGCGCAGCUAAUUCCCACAGCGCCCUGGUUGAAACCUGUGGUACUCCUGAUGUUGCGAGGGCCAGGUGGACUCUACUGAGACAGGUGUUGCGUCAGAAGCAGGCGGACAAUCCCGAGGUCAAACAGGUGUCUGUUCGCAGGUUCGCAACGUUUGACCUUUUCAGCAGGAAAAGGCUUCUGACACAAGACUCCAGUGAUAACUCAGAUGACCAGUGGGUGGAGUACAGAAGUGUCUACUUUCCCGAAUACAGUGCCUUGCUCAGGGAUAACCUGGGCCCUGUCAGAGUUAAUGAAGUGCUCAAAAGUUUUGACAACACCGGUAAUGUCUGUGUGUGCCGUCUGAAGAGGUGAUGGCUCAUUACUGUCUGCGGAAACGUCACAUGUUCAAGGGUGCAGUGUGUGAGUUAGGAGGAGGUAUGACUUGUCUUGCUGGACUCAUGGUUGCCAUUUGUGCUGACGUGAGGGAAGUUCUGCUAUCAGAUGGGAACGAGAAGUCCCAUUCAGAAUGUUCGAGGACUGGCCGAAAGAAUACAGGCAAGCUGGAAAGUUUGGGUCAACACAGGUAUCUGCCAGG